AGUACCAGCUUGCUCUGUGUGCAGUGACUCAUCUCAGGCAUUUCUGAAAUACUUUUCUGAUUUUUUAUUCUCUUCUGUUUAGGUCACAUCCAACUCCAUAUUGCAAGGUGCUGAGUAACAGCUCAUGAUCCCUAUCAAGUAAUGGCUCCAGGGUUUGUUUACCAACAUCCACUGGAGACUCCAGCUUUUCUGUAGAAACAGAAACUGAGCCCAGGCUUAUCCAGGAAGCCCAAAAGUCCACGUGGGCACAUCCCUGGAGAAGACAGCCACAGCUCAGCCUCCUGUUUUACCUCUUGGACUGCCGUGUCCCUCUGAGGUGAGUGAUGCUGCAUGUCUACUUCUAGGUGCAGGGGUAAAGGUCUAUAACUCCUU
ensembl:lncRNA